GCUCAGCCACUACAGAGGAAACAAUGACUUCAACACAAAAGGACCAACAUGGAGCAAGAAGUCAGCGCUCUCAGGAGGCCGACAAACCUCACAGAAGAAAGGGAGAGAAAACAUACAGCUGUGAUGAGUGUGGGGCGGAUUUUACCCGGACUGACAGCCUAAAAAAACACCAAGUCAUCCACAGUGGAGUUAAAGCUUACAGCUGUGAGGAGUGUGGGAAGGAUUUUACCCAGGCUGGACACUUAAAAACACACCAACUCAUCCACAGUGGAGUUAAAGCUUACAGCUGUGAGGAGUGUGGGAAGGAUUUUACCCAGGCUGGACACUUAAAAACACACCAACUCAUCCACAGUGGAGUUAAAGCGUACAGCUGUGACUUGUGUGGAAAUUCUUUUAACCGGGCUGAAACCUUAAAAAGACACCAAGUCAUGCACAGUGGAGUUAAAGCUUACAGCUGUGAGGAGUGUGGGAAGGAUUUUACCCAGGCUGGACACUUAAAAACACACCAACUCAUCCACAGUGGAGUUAAA